UCCUCCCACAAUCAGAGCACCGUCUCCGGCCCCUCCGGCGCCACCCCAUCUUUCCCCUCCGCCAUCCCCACCUCCUUGCCAAGCCCCUUGCACCAGAUCGACCGGGACCGCCCAAGAAACGACGACGGGAGGAACGGCGCGUUGCCGCCGCGGCUCCUCCGUCGCGUGCGUCGUCGUGCGUUGAGAAGGUGGGAGGGCGCCGCCUCGGGUCGACGCCGCCGUCGCGGCUCCUCCACACCAUGGCCGACGUAUGCUCGGCGGCGGCCUCCGACGAAACCCUAGCCGCCGUCUUCGCCCAGAUAGAGCCGGUGGAAGAGCGGCGAGCCGUUGCCGGGUGAGGGGAAGUGCUGCAGGAGCGCGUCCUGGAGGAGGCCGGCAACACAGGUGGCGAGAUGCAACCACUGGUGGGGUAAAGCUACCAAACAUGGGAGCAAGGGUGAUGAGGGACUCCUCCAUGAGUGAAGCCCUUCUCUUCCUCUCAAUGCCCCUCAGAUCCCUCUUUCACUUUCUCUCUAUCCACAGAUAGGGCGACGCGUGAGACUGCAGGAGGGAAAGCAGGUGUGGCAUACAGAGGAGGCACGACCACGGCCACAAUCGGAAAGCUUAGGCAUGGAUUUGAGCAAAAGAAGAGUCAAAGGAAUUUGGGUCCUCUAUCUUGCAUCUAGGGUUUCAGUGUACAGAAGAUUCUUACCAAUGGUGAUAAUAGGCAGCAUGUGAGUUAAUAUUUUCCAUGUCUGGUACAAGAAAUCAUAUCUUCCACACCGCUAUUUCCUUGUCUCUUGUACUCUGUUGUCUCCACACAAUACUGUUUCUCGAAUUCUAUAUCUCCUCUCUUUAAGCUACAGGCAGGAAAUACAGUUGAGGGUUGCUGCCGGAGCUUGGCGUGAGUUCUUGUGAUGUCAUGGUGAGGUUUCUAAAAGAGAUUGUUGUUUCGUCCUCGAUGCAGAUGCAAAAGGAGAGUUGGUGAAGGAACAUAAAGUUUCAGUAAAUCCAUUAAAGGCUGUCAGAUAUUUUCUAGCUGUGCAAUGCUGUGUUGCAGUAUAGGCUUUUCUUAACUUCUCUUAGCUGAGUUUUGGUUUUAACAUAUAUUGCUUCUAAUGCAACAUAGUUUUUGUAAAUGGAGAUUCCCAGCUAAUAUUUACUUUUCUCCGAGAAAUGAUGUUUACGUAUUUGCUCUUUGCAAGAAUAUAUUGAUGCCCUAGAACUAUAGGAGUGCAAAAUAAGGUUAAUAACCAGUUAUUUAAGUUCCUGCUGCUUUGAUUCUUUGACUAAUAAACAUGCCUGCCAAUGUUCAACUCUAAAAGAAUUAACAUGUUUUAAAUUUGAUGUACUGGAAAUAUUUGUUGCUGUGCAUUUCUUUUACAGCUAUCUGUACUUACAGGUUUUUGUCAGUGUUACCCUUGACCCUGUAGUCUUUUACUACUUAAUUGCCCUAAUAGCUAUAUUUUGCACUUUUUGAAGCUUCAUUUACACAAAAUUUAAUUACCUUCUUCUGAACUUUCUAUUGUUGCAGCUUAAGGGACUCGAUGUUGAAGUUGACCCGGCAUAGUGACAGACAUGUAAUGUACUAGCUACCAUGCAUGUCUUUCAACUUCUACUUUGGAUAUGCAUGUUGUCUGUAUUUGUUAGAAUGCAUAGCUGAUUCCUGGACUAAUGCAUGAAAGAUAGUCAAUCUUCUUGUAAUUUUAUAUAUAGAAUGGAUAAAUGAGAUAAUCUGAGAAAGAAAUUCCACUUUAAAAGAAUAGCAUAGAUUAGUUGACAUCAAUGAAGUAUUUGAAAAAAAAAUCUUAGGAACAAGUGAGUUACAGCCAUAUAGAAUGGAUAAAUGAGAUAAUCUGGGAGGGAAAUUCCACUUUAAAAGAAUAGCAUAGAUUAGUUGACAUCAAUUAAGUCUUUUUUUUAAAAUAAAUCUUUGGAACAAGUGAGUACUGCCUAUUUUUACAAGUGGUUUUGUUCUUUCUCUUGUUCUACUUCUAAAUGCCUCUAGGCUACCCGGCCAACUGAGGCACUCCAGGGGGCAACUCUUCGUUGGCCGUCCGAUUCACUUGGUCGUACACGUUUUCCCUCCCGCAGUGAUUCUGAGUCGUGCAUUUUACCCUUCCCUCGUUCACGUUGGCUCAGUGGUGAGAUGUCCAUGACGAUUGGACCCCCUUGUGAGUGGGGUCAUGAGGCUGAGAGAGAAGAACAAGUCCUCGGCGUCAGUGGUUUCUCCCAACCACGGUGAAACCCUAGAGCAACGCGAGCCUCCUCCUGUCCCCAAUCGGGUGCAUCCUCUUCUCCCCCAGUCCCAUCUCCUAUUCCCCUCCGCCGCCUCUCUCAUUUUCUCUCCCACGCUGGAUGGAGGCAGCACGAGGCCGGGGCUCCAACCCGUGCAGCAGAGGCGGGGAACAUAGGCGGCAGGCUGGGCGACGAGCGGCGGUUGGGGUGGGCCGGUGCGGGGAAGGGAGGCUGAUGGUUGUCGCGGGACCUCCGACGGCGGCGGCAAUCGGAUAGCAGCGGGGCUCUCUCACGCAGGCGGCUGGACGUGGUGGGGCUGGGCCGGUGCGGGUAAGGGCUGCUGCUGGUUUUUGCGGGAGCUCCGACGGCGGCGGCGGUCAGACGGCCCCGGGGCCUCUCACGGUCGAGGCUCUCUCACGCCGCCCCUCCUCAUGCGACGAGGCACAAUAGGGCGGAGCUGAGCAAGGGCUUCACAUGGCGCCCCCUCCUCCAGCUCCCCAAAUCGAAUCGGCCAAGGCACAUGUACGGCAAGAGGAGGCGCCACAGCAUGGUGGUGAGGCAUGGCGCGCCGGAGCUGCGUCCAGGUGGAUUGCGCACGAGCGAAGUCGCUGGCCUCCUCGCAGGUCCAGUGCACAAGCGCGGAGGAGCGGCGCAAACAAUCUUGAUGAGGCACGCGGCUGUAAGAGCUGGGACCAAGAAACAGAAGUAUGAGAAAUGGCAGGGUCUACGAGCUGGGAACAAGAAACAGAAGUAUGAGAAAAUUAGUGAGCGGAAGAUCACCACUUGACUUGAGGCUCCUUCAUAGAUACCCUUCUGAAUUUCAGUCAUACUUCCUUUACUGCCGUUCACUACAUUUUGAGAACAAUCCAGACUAUCAAUAGAUGUGGUGUUUCCAUUAUUCUUCUCUCAUGAAAGCCUGCAGGACCAAAUCAUGGUUUAUAAUUCCAUUAUGGAAUGUUGGAGACGGAGGUUCUACGAUUUCGUAGGUUUGUUUCUCGUUACAUCCUCAACUGGGCUCUGGUUCUGUGCUCCUCUGCUUUGUUAAGGGUUUGGUGUUCCCAGUCAGCAAACUGGGUCAGUGAUCCAACAGAUAACCUUGUGGGAAUCUUACGAGCAGUGUCCUUGUUGUAACUUUGCUGAUCAUAUACAUGUAAGAUUGCAAAAAUCAUUACCACUCAAUAGCAAUCUCUCUCCGAUCACCACUUCGAGUGCAUGUGAGCCUGGAGUAGUAAACUUGUUGUGUAAGUUUUUCCUUUGUAAUUUUAAUGCAGCGAGUGGGUCGGUUUUCUGUUGGCGGCAUCCCUGAUGCUAGAGGUGGGUGCGUUGUUCUGGGCCAGUGAAAGGAGAGGAGCAACAAUAAAAUUGAUGUUCUAUCAAAUAAUGUUUUCAAAACAUAUCUAUUCAGGGAGAUUUAAUUAUGGCUAUAAUUACUGUACUAAAUGUCCAUGGAGUCCUAGGAACAAUGAACUUACUCUAUUGAGAACUUGUUGAUUUGGAUGUUGGGGUUUUUUCCAUGAUUACUUGUAGUGUUGCCAUCUCCAUUCAGUUAUCAGUAAAAAAUAGUAGCGUCUAGGUGAAUAAUCACUGCUCACUGACAUGCCUACAACUUUUGGGAAAUGAACUUGUUUGGUAUGUUUAAUUUAAUGGCAUAUUAAACCUGGUGUUGCUUGUGGCCAAUGAUAUAUUGUUAGCAACUGUAAAUGUUUAGUUCAAUGCAAUGUCAUUCUUCUGAAUUAUUUGAGAGCUGCAUAUGAUGUUCAUAUCUCGCAAGACCAUUGAAGAGGUAGCACCUUAUGUGUUUUAGGUACGAUGGUGGCCAGAUGGGGGUUUGAGACAAGAGGCAAGGCUGGAUGGAGCUUUGAGGGCCUCUGGUUUGGCGGCGGCAUGUGCCUAUCAUGGAGGAAGUGGUUACAAUAUCCAUUUGAAAGAUGGAGCGGGCACAAAAUAAGUUCCUGGUACAAUGGUGGCCAGAUGGGGUUGAGACAAGAGGCAAGGCUGGAUGGAGCGUUGAGGGCCUCCAGUUUGGCACGUGUGUCGAUCUGGAAGCACGCUAUUAGAAAAUUACCACGAAAUCAUUAUUGAGCUUCAACCGUUCCUAAUAUACUUAUGGCAAUAUUAUUAUUAGAUGAACCACUGCCUAUUUCUAUCUAUGUUAGAAUUUAUGUUAUGUGUAGCUAAUGGGGGACCAAUCAUGAGCCUCACGGUUUAAAGUCAACAAAUCUCAAUCCAAAACUUGCAGUUACAAUAU